CCCGUCUCUCCCCCCUCCCCUAGGAUAAGCUGAGAAUCUCUCAGGCCUUCCUCUUCUUGGCCUGUGUAAAAUACCAUCAUGACCUACAUCAGUGAAACUGCCACAUCAUAUUACUGCUUUGUCAGUAGAAUGCAAACCAAUAACCCAUCCAUUCAUUUUCUAUACCGUCAAUCCUCAUUAGUGUCACGGAGCUGGAUGAAGUGGCUGGGGAGAGGGAAGUCUGGGCGUCCCUGCUAAAGCUACUGCCCCCGCGACCCGACCUCGGAUAAGCGGUAGAAAAUGGAUGGAUGGAUGAUGGUCCUGUGCAGCUCUUAUGGUCUCCUGUACUACAGCAGUCACCUGGAGCUGGACUGCAGGAGGGUCCCGGGUCAACAGCAAUCUGUGAAGUACAUUCAGGAGCUCCACUGCCAACAGCUAGAAGACAAGGAACACUUUUAAUGACACUAGUGCAAGGCCUGCAGACCAGCCAUUCUCAACUGGUUACUGUGGUCUGUGGCAGCCAUGAAAGCCAUUCGGAUGAGGUCAGACAAAUGGAGCACCAGCAGAUCUCCUAGACGAGUAGAGAUGCAGGAUGAUGCGGCACAAGCAAUCUGCAGCAAACACCCGCGUCACCCAGCGAGGUGCCACUGAAGGCUUAGAUCUGUCAUCUUCGCCUAAACCUGCAAACAUGAUGUCGUCGUCCAUCUCGUCUUUUUUCUCAGAGUCUUCAUCUUUUUCCAUCUCAAAUGUUACUGCUCCUCCUACAUCUGAGAAGAUUGACAUACAUUCAGACAAUCAAAACAAGACUCAGUUCAUAGUAUCCUAUCUUAAUUUAUUUAUAGACAAUGAUAAUGGGCUUUUCUCUUCUCUUCUCUUUUAAAUUCACCUGU